UACAUGGGGUGCAAACGUUGCUCGGAAUCAUUGGGCGUAAAGCGCGCGUAGGCGGUUACUUAAGUCGGAUGUGAAAGCCCUCGGCUUAACCGAGGAAGUGCAUCCGAAACUGAGUAGCUAGAGUACUAAAGAGGGUCGCGGAAUUCCCGGUGUAGAGGUGAAAUUCGUAGAUAUCGGGAGGAACACCGGUGGCGAAGGCGGCGACCUGGGCCAAUACUGACGCUGAGGUGCGAAAGCGUGGGGAGCAAACAGG
rnacentral:rRNA from 1 species